AUCAGCACGCCGUGGUGAAUACGUUCCCGGGCCUUGUACACACCGCCCGUCACACCACGGGAGUUGGGAGUACCCGAAGUAGGUUGCCUAACCGCAAGGAGGGCGCUUCCUAAGGUAAGACCGAUGACUGGGGUGAAGUCGUAACAAGGUAGCCGUAUCGGAAGGUGCGGCUGGAUCACCUCCUUU
rnacentral:rRNA from 1 species